rnacentral:lncRNA from 1 species
CUCGCAGAGGCUGCUUCAGAGCAUUCCCUGGUUUCCAGCACAGUUUUAUUUCCUCCCUUAGAGAGACAGACCAGCCUUGACUGAGCAACCGAUUUUCAUGCAUCCUUUAAACCAGCAUUCCCUGCCUUUUCUGAAGGACAGCACACACGUCGCUAGCUGUCUGCUUCUUCCCCCUUAAACAAUAUAGGUUCGGGGUUGGGUUGGUUUUUUUUUUUUUUCCUUUUCCCCUCCCCAUCUCAUUUCUUUCCGCCUGCAAAGUGAUUUGAGAGCCCCGCGACGCAGCCUGCUACAGGAGCGGGGACUUCUCUGGAACACUGGCGUGCGCAGGGAUUAAGCCCACCGCAGAGAGCCAGCCUGGUCUUUGAAGUGUUACAAGGGGAGGGAGGAGAGCGGAGAGGGAGCGAGCGCUGUACCGCAGACAUCAUUUCUACUACAGUGGUGGAGACAUCCCGGACCUGUGUCACUGCAGGGGGAAGGAAAAAAGCCAAACAAACAAAAAGCAGACCCAAGCCCCGUGAUCAGCUAGGAAGACAUUUGUGUGCGAGUCUCUCUCUGACCCCCCCACCCCCGCCAACCCCACCUCCACUGACACUUUACAUCACAUUGCAGGCCAAGCCAGAUGGGCAAGCAAUACAAGCUGUGAAUUUAUUCUUGACCCCGUAG